rnacentral:rRNA from 1 species
AUGAACGCUAGCUACAGGCUUAACACAUGCAAGUCGAGGGGCAGCAUGGUCUUAGCUUGCUAAGACUGAUGGCGACCGGCGCACGGGUGAGUAACACGUAUCCAACCUGCCGUCUACUCUUGGACAGCCUUCUGAAAGGAAGAUUAAUACAAGAUGGCAUCAUGAGUCCGCAUGUUCACAUGAUUAAAGGUAUUCCGGUAGACGAUGGGGAUGCGUUCCAUUAGAUAGUAGGCGGGGUAACGGCCCACCUAGUCUUCGAUGGAUAGGGGUUCUGAGAGGAAGGUCCCCCACAUUGGAACUGAGACACGGUCCAAACUCCUACGGGAGGCAGCAGUGAGGAAUAUUGGUCAAUGGGCGAGAGCCUGAACCAGCCAAGUAGCGUGAAGGAUGACUGCCCUAUGGGUUGUAAACUUCUUUUAUAAAGGAAUAAAGUCGGGUAUGCAUACCCGUUUGCAUGUACUUUAUGAAUAAGGAUCGGCUAACUCCGUGCCAGCAGCCGCGGUAAUACGGAGGAUCCGAGCGUUAUCCGGAUUUAUUGGGUUUAAAGGGAGCGUAGAUGGAUGUUUAAGUCAGUUGUGAAAGUUUGCGGCUCAACCGUAAAAUUGCAGUUGAUACUGGAUAUCUUGAGUGCAGUUGAGGCAGGCGGAGUUCGUGGUGUAGCGGUGAAAUGCUUAGAUAUCACGAAGAACUCCGAUUGCGAAGGCAGCCUGCUAAGCUGCAACUGACAUUGAGGCUCGAAAGUGUGGGUAUCAAACAGGAUUAGAUACCCUGGUAGUCCACACGGUAAACGAUGAAUACUCGCUGUUUGCGAUAUACAGCAAGCGGCCAAGCGAAAGCGUUAAGUAUUCCACCUGGGGAGUACGCCGGCAACGGUGAAACUCAAAGGAAUUGACGGGGGCCCGCACAAGCGGAGGAACAUGUGGUUUAAUUCGAUGAUACGCGAGGAACCUUACCCGGGCUUAAAUUGCAUCUGAAUAAUUUGGAAACAGAUUAGCCGUAAGGCAGAUGUGAAGGUGCUGCAUGGUUGUCGUCAGCUCGUGCCGUGAGGUGUCGGCUUAAGUGCCAUAACGAGCGCAACCCUUGUUGUCAGUUACUAACAGGUCAUGCUGAGGACUCUGACAAGACUGCCAUCGUAAGAUGUGAGGAAGGUGGGGAUGACGUCAAAUCAGCACGGCCCUUACGUCCGGGGCUACACACGUGUUACAAUGGGGGGGUACAGAGGGCCGCUACCACGCGAGUGGAUGCCAAUCCCCAAAACCUCUCUCAGUUCGGACUGGAGUCUGCAACCCGACUCCACGAAGCUGGAUUCGCUAGUAAUCGCGCAUCAGCCACGGCGCGGUGAAUACGUUCCCGGGCCUUGUACACACCGCCCGUCAAGCCAUGGGAGCCGGGGGUACCUGAAGUGCGUAACCGCGAGGAGCGCCCUAGGGUAAAACUGGUGACUGGGGCU